rnacentral:rRNA from 1 species
CAGCCGCCACGGGAAUACGUAGGUGGCAAGCGUUGUCCGGAAUUAUUGGGCGUAAAGGGCUCGCAGGCGGUUUCUUAAGUCUGAUGUGAAAGCCCCUGGCUCAACCGGGGAGGGUCAUUGGAAACUGGGAAACUUGAGUGCAGAAGAGGAGAGUGGAAUUCCACGUGUAGCGGUGAAAUGCGUAGAGAUGUGGAGGAACACCAGUGGCGAAGGCGACUCUCUGGUCUGUAACUGACGCUGAGGAGCGAAAGCGUGGGGAGCGAACAGGAUUAGAUACCCCUGUAGUCCCUGUCUCUUAUAC